rnacentral:lncRNA from 1 species
UAGUAUUGACUGUCGAGAAAACUACCACAUUCACAGCAUAGUAUGUGAAAAAGAAGAAAUGCUAACAACCUAAUCCAGGAUGAAUUCAGGUCUUAACAUCAGUCACGGUAAAGAUGUGAUUACUUGGAAUGGGAGGUGAUGAAAACCAAAAAAGAAGACAGGUAAAGGAAGAUCAGUAAUCCAAAAUUUUCUUCAGCCCUACUGUAUAGUAUAUUCCUAAGAAGUUACCUUGCCAUUGCUAGUGUAUUCACAUUUUACUUACCUGUACUCAAGAAAUUUCUGCCAUCAAAACUGCAUCCAAAUAUUCUAAAUAUAGAGUUAAAAAAUCAUCUAUGUUGUUGAUCC